rnacentral:misc_RNA from 1 species
GGGUAUUUCAACAGAAGUAGCUUCAACAGUGAGUUUGAAUUGAUGAAGAGGAAUAAGAUCCUAAUUGCAGCAUGUAAGUAUAUAUAUGUAUAGUAAUUAGUAGUAGCAUUUGAUAUUCUUUUAAGAUGAAAGGUGAAGGCUCAUAUUAUUAUAGUGGAAAUUGACUUUAAUUAGAAGGCAACAUCAAUGAUCAAAAGGCUUAAGUUUAAGGGACCUUUAAUCUAUCAAUUAUUAUCAAAAGAAAGGUCUGUCUGGUUGAAAUUGCCCUCAUAUUUGCAAUAAUGACAUGCUUGCUUUUGCUAUGUAGUGGGAAAUGAUAGUCAACUUUCUUUGCCACAUUUAUAUCAUUACUUCUUCUCAAAUUUGGUGAAUAGAAAAUUGAAAAUCUACUGCUAGAUUAUAUAUCUAUGUGGGUUGGUGAAGGAGAAGGAUCUUAUUUUUAGAGCAUUGUCUUCCAAAAUGGAGUGAUUGAUGAGGAACUUGUGCUGUAAAGCUCUGACUAGAGCAUGCAUAUACUACAGAUUUUGAUUAAGCUUGUCUAAUCAGUUCUACAGAAAGGAGAACGUACAAGAAAUCCCAAUACAGAUUACAGGCACUCCAAAU